rnacentral:tRNA from 1 species
GGAGGGGUGGCAGAGCGGUUGAAUGCGACGGUCUUGAAAACCGUUAUCCGCCUUCAGGCGGAUCGUGGGUUCGAAUCCCACCCCCUCCGCCA